GGCCGUGUAGCUCAGUUGGUAGAGCGUCGAUCUAGUAAUUCGAGGGUCGCGGGUUCGGGGCCCAGCCGCGGCAG